CUCUACUUAGCCAACUGCACGCAGUUAUCUGAUCAAUAGGACAAUACUAGUACUACUGAGAACCAUGUUGUCAAGAAUUGUACUACUGCUGAUUUUGGUMGUGRUUCCCGCUGUUGUGUACUCAUACCCACCACCCUAUCAACAAAUAUCCAGUUUGCAAGGAUGUAGAGACGCUAUUUCCAAUUGCCGCCAGCGUUUUAACAGUAUGAACCAUCAUCCGUAUUUCUGCUUCAGAUAUGGACAAAGCUGCAAACGUUUUUGCCAGAUGUGUCACAGCGAUUGUCGGGAUACUUGGGGUUAUGGCUAUUAUUGCCAUGGUUGGAGAAGAAGGGGUCAAUGCCGAACAAGCUACGCUGCAAAAAAAUGUCGAAAAACUUGUUCAUUUUGCCGAAAAUGAGAUUAAGGUGAGAUAC